GGUGAGGAAGCAAGCUUGAACACGAACGCUUAAGGUACAUUAUUGAAGCCUCACCAGGAAAUGGAUACGCAGAUGAAACGCUUAAAGUUUGAAAGAAGACGAAAUGUGAAGUGUUGUACGGAUAACGGGCGAUUAUCACAAGGAUUAGAGAUCGAAGACCGAGUCACAAGAUAGAUUGUACGGGAAUAAUUGAGUAUGUACUAUUAGUAAACAGGACUUAUGCUUUAUCUUUGUAAAAGAUACAUAUUAAAACGAACUUUCAAGUAAGUCAAGACGUUUGUAAUGAAAGAAAUUUUAUGGCACGAAUU
rnacentral:lncRNA from 1 species